AUCCUUACUUGACUAAGGCUCCGGAGGAAGCCACGGCUAACUCUGUGCCAGCAGCCGCGGUAAUACAGAGGCGGCAAGCGUUGUUCGGAAUUAUUGGGCGUAAAGAGCACGUAGGCGGCCUUGUAAGUCAGUUGUGAAAGCCUUCUGCUUAACGGAAGAACAGCAGCUGAUACUGCAAGGCUAGAGUGCGGAAGGGGAGAGUGGAACUUCUGGU
rnacentral:rRNA from 1 species